GAUAAAUACUCAGAAGGGAAGACGACCGCUCCUUUUCUCCUGCAGCUUUCUGCUAAAGGAGCUGAAGUCCCCGAAAGCAGUUCAGUCAGCUGUUACCAGCAUGGCUGUCUGUUCUAGGCUGAACUUCUUUCGUCCUUAGGACGUGAGCAAAAACAACUGCUCUAUCUAAAAAUCCUUCUGUCUCCCAAGGGGGGGUACGCACUCUUGCCGUUUGCUCUUGCCAGCGGCUGCUCGCCAUGCGCCGAUCUGAACCGACUGCAGAAGCACGGGCGCGUUCAUGCCACGAUGUGCCAUGUCGUCCGUCGUGACGACGAAGCCCGCCCAUCCAACCGUCCGGUACGGUGAACCGGAUAGGCUAACUUCGUCGUUCCGACGACGAUGUGGUGGAGCGCAGCGAGAACGCGCCCGAGCUCGCACGGCUCCAUCCAGACGACGAUCUGAACCGACCGCAGAAGCACGGGCGCGUUCAUGCCUCGAUGUACCACGUCGUCCAUCAUAACGACGAAGCCCGCCCGGAUAGGCGAGCUUCGUCGUUCUGACAGACGACGUGGAGGAUCGCGGCGAGAACGCGCCCGAGCUCGCACGGCUCCAUCCAGACGCAACCAGAAGACCCGAUGAGUCCGCUCGGAUCAGGGGGCUUGUAGUGCGGCAUGCCGGGUCAUGUCUGACCUGCCAACAAAAGAAAACCAGAAGCAAAAAAACUCAUUCCUACAAAUACUUUGCUUCUGGCUACUUGGUUGGCGGGAUUCGGGAUGGCCUGCCAUGAACAUAAUCCCUUACAAUGAAUAAAAAUCCAACAAAGUUGGUUUCCAAAGUU